rnacentral:rRNA from 1 species
GAUGAACGCUGGCGGCGUGCCUAAUACAUGCAAGUCGAGCGAACAGACGAGGAGCUUGCUCCUCUGACGUUAGCGGCGGACGGGUGAGUAACACGUGGAUAACCUACCUAUAAGACUGGGAUAACUUCGGGAAACCGGCGCUAAUACCGGAUAAUCUAUUGAACCGCAUGGUUCAAUAGUGAAAGACGGUUUUGCUGUCACUUAUAGAUGGAUCCGCGCCGCAUUAGCUAGUUGGUAAGGUAACGGCUUACCAAGGCAACGAUGCGUAGCCGACCUGAGAGGGUGAUCGGCGACACUGGAGCUGAGACACGGUCCAGACUCCUACGGGAGGCAGCAGUAGGGAAUCUGAGGCAAUGGGCGAAAGCCUGACGGAGCAACGCCGCGUGAGUGAUGAAGGUCUUCGGAUCGUAAAACUCUGUUAUGAGGGAAGAACAAAUGUGUAAGGAAAUAUGCACGUCUUGACGGUACCUAAUCAGAAAGCCACGGCUAACUACGUG